UAAUUCCAAGUGUAAAUUUAGUGUUCCUAUAACAUUAUUUCGGUUAACAAGAUCCACAAUUCUCAACAAUUGCAAAUUAACUUGUUACUAAGGAUCAGUAUAGGGAAAAUUUCAAGGUAAAAGAUGAUACGAUAGGGGAUAAGGAAAAAUAAUACAAGAUAUUCAAGGAGAUCGAGCACGAAAUAAUUUUACGGAAAAUGGAAGGAAUGGCGUGGCGCGGCAUGGCGCACCGGAAAUGGGAGUCGCUAUUACACGAUUACAUAAAUUGAUCCGCGUGGCGAACUCUCGCGAGAAUGCCGACGAGAACGUAGCGUUGAACACGCGAUGCCGUGUGGGUGAACCUGUUGAACAUAAUUGGUUCCCCCGUUAUUAUUAGCUAAUAUAUUUUUCAUGGGAAAUUAUUUAUAUCUCCGGCUUACAAAGUCACACCAAGCGCCAGCGCCGACAACUGUUUCAGCUGGUUCAUACUUUCCUCGAAUAGCUUCGCGUUGUACCUUCCCAUUUUCAC